rnacentral:rRNA from 1 species
UGAGCUUGAUCCUGGCUCAGGACGAACGCUGGCGGCGUGCCUAAUACAUGCAAGUCGAGCGAAUGGAGGGGAGCUUGCUCCCUGAAGUUAGCGGCGGACGGGUGAGUAACACGUGGGCAACCUCCCUGUAGACUGGGAUAACAUCGAGAAAUCGGUGCUAAUACCGGAUAAUCAAAGGAAUCACAUGGUUCUUUUGUAAAAGAUGGCUUCGGCUAUCACUAUAGGAUGGGCCCGCGGUGCAUUAGCUAGUUGGUGAGGGUAGAGGCUCACCAAGGCAACGAUGCAUAGCCGACCUGAGAGGGUGAUCGGCCACACUGGGACUGAGACACGGCCCAGACUCCUACGGGAGGCAGCAGUAGGGAAUCUUCCGCAAUGGACGAAAGUCUGACGGAGCAACGCCGCGUGAGUGAUGAAGGUUUUCGGAUCGUAAAGCUCUGUUGUUAGGGAAGAACAAGUACCGUUCGAAUAGGGCGGUACCUUGAACGUACCAACCA